rnacentral:rRNA from 1 species
UACGGAGGGGGCUAGCGUUGUUCGGAAUUACUGGGCGUAAAGCGCGCGUAGGCGGAUCUGCAAGUCGGGGGUGAAAUCCCGAGGCUCAACCUCGGAACUGCCUUCGAUACUGCGGGUCUCGAGUCCGGGAGAGGUGAGUGGAAUUCCGUGGUGUAGCGGUGAAAUGCGCAGAUAUCAGGAAGAACACCUAUGGCGAAGGCAGCUCUCUGGGACGGUACUGACGCUGAGACGCGAAAGCGUGG